rnacentral:rRNA from 1 species
UAACCUGCCCAAGAGAUCGGGAUAACACCUGGAAACAGAUGCUAAUACCGGAUAACAACAGAUGAUGCCUAUCAACUGUUUAAAAGAUGGUUCUGCUAUCACUCUUGGAUGGACCUGCGGUGCAUUAGCUAGUUGGUAGGGUAACGGCCUACCAAGGCGAUGAUGCAUAGCCUAGUUGAGAGACUGAUCGGCCACAUUGGGACUGAGACACGGCCCAAACUCCUACGGGAGGCAGCAGAA